GUUUCAUCUUUGUAAUAAUUUCCAUUUCAACAAGCUUUAUAAAAACAAACAUUGAAAUGUGAAUCAAAUUGUUUUUCAGAGUUAUGAAGCCACCCCAACUCAAACUGGUUGGCUUGAAGUGACGAUAAAUGACAAACUUAUUCAUUCUAAAAAGAAUGGAGAUGGUUACAUUGAUGGAACAAAAUACUACAAGAUAGCAAAUGCUGUCAGAAAAGCACUUAUGUGAGUUGCUUUUUUGAAAAAGGAAGUCAAAUGACUUGGUUUUGGUUUAUUUGGUUGUUGCCUCAUGAAUAGUUAUGGGAAAAACCCUUUUUGGGAAUGACAUGAAUAUGAUAUUUUUCAACGAACAAGUUAACCAAUGCUGACGAGUUUGAAAUUCUUUCAACAACUUUUUAAAAUCAAAUAAAUGAUGAAUAUUAAUUACGAUC